UACGUAGGGUGCAAGCGUUGUCCGGAAUCAUUGGGCGUAAAGCGCGCGUAGGCGGCCCAGUAAGUCCGUUGUAAAAGUCAAAGGCUCAACCUUUGAAAGCCGAUGGAUACUGCUGGGCUAGAGUCCGGAAGAGGCGAGUGGAAUUCCUGGUGUAGCGGUGGAAUGCGCAGAUAUCAGGAGGAACACCGAUAGCGAAGGCAGCUCGCUGGGACGGUACUGACGCUGAGGCGCGAAAGCGUGGGGAGCGAACAGG
rnacentral:rRNA from 1 species